CAGCCGCCGCGGUAAUACAGAGGGUGCGAGCGUUAAUCGGAUUUACUGGGCGUAAAGCGUGCGUAGGCGGCUUCUUAAGUCGGAUGUGAAAUCCCUGAGCUUAACUUAGGAAUUGCAUUCGAUACUGGGAAGCUAGAGUAUGGGAGAGGAUGGUAGAAUUCCAGGUGUAGCGGUGAAAUGCGUAGAGAUCUGGAGGAAUACCGAUGGCGAAGGCAGCCAUCUGGCCUAACACUGACGCUGAGGUACGAAAGCAUGGGGAGCAAACAGGAUUAGAUACCCCAGUAGUCCCUGUCUCUUAUAC
rnacentral:rRNA from 1 species